rnacentral:rRNA from 1 species
AACGAACGCUGGCGGCAUGCCUAACACAUGCAAGUCGAACGAGACCUUCGGGUCUAGUGGCGCACGGGUGCGUAACGCGUGGGAAUCUGCCCUUGGGUUCGGAAUAACAGUUAGAAAUGACUGCUAAUACCGGAUAAUGUCUUCGGACCAAAGAUUUAUCGCCCAGGGAUGAGCCCGCGUAGGAUUAGCUAGUUGGUGAGGUAAAGGCUCACCAAGGCGACGAUCCUUAGCUGGUCUGAGAGGGUGAUCAGCCACACUGGGACUGAGACACGGCCCAGACUCCUACGGGAGGCAGCAGUGGGAAUAUUGGACAAUGGCGAAAAGCCUGAUCCAGCAAAUGCCGCGUGAGUGAUGAAGGCCUUAGGGUUGUAAAGCUCUUUUACCCGGGAUGAUAAAUGACAGUACCGGGAGAAUAAAGCCCCGGCUAACUCCGUGCCAGCAG